AUCCCAUAUAUAAAUCCCCUUAAAUACAUGCAACUAUGUAUGCAACUAUGAGAACAUAGUUUCAUAUAUUUAAGGGGAUUUAUAUAUGGGAU